rnacentral:rRNA from 1 species
UACGUAGGGACCAAGCGUUGUUCGGAUUUACUGGGCGUAAAGGGCGCGUAGGCGGCGUGGUAAGUCACUUGUGAAAUCUCUGAGCUUAACUCAGAACGGCCAAGUGAUACUGCUGUGCUAGAGUGCAGAAGGGGCAAUCGGAAUUCUUGGUGUAGCGGUGAAAUGCGUAGAUAUCAAGAGGAACACCUGAGGUGAAGACGGGUUGCUGGGCUGACACUGACGCUGAGGCGCAAAAACCAGGGGAGCAAACGGG